rnacentral:rRNA from 1 species
AGAGUUGAUCCUGGCUCAGAACGAGCGCUGGCGGCGUGGUUGAUACAUGCAAGUCGAGCGGGAACGUUUCCUUCGGGAGACAAGUACAGCGGCGGACGGGUGAGUAUAACUUGGUCAAUCUACCCUCAGGACGGGGAUAGCCAUUCGAAAGGAUGGGUAAUACCUGGUAUGACCACAGCACCUCAUGGUGCAGUGGUAAUAAGGUUGGGAUCUUCGGACCUUCUGCCUGAGAAUGAGACCAAGCCCUAUUAGCUUGUUGGUGAGGUAACGGCUCACCAAGGCAACGAUGGGUAGCGGGCCUGAGAGGGUGAACCGCCACACUGGAACUGAGACACGGUCCAGACUCCUACGGGAGGCAGCAGUGCUGAAUCAUUCGCCAAUGCGGGAAACCGUGACGGUGCGACGCCGCGUGUAGGACGAAGGCCUUCGGGUUGUAAACUACUGUCAGUAUCCAGAAAACCAGUAACGUUAAUAGCGUUGCUGCUGAUCGGAUGCAGAGGAAGCACUGGCUAAACUCGUGCCAGCAGCCGCGGUAACACGAGUGGUGCAAGCGUUGUUCGGAAUCACUGGGCAUAAAGGGUGCGUAGGCGGCGCUGUAAGUCAGUUGUGAAAUCCCACGGCUCAACCGUGGCAUUGCAAUUGAUACUGCAGGGCUUGAGAUCGAAAGAGGCAAGUGGAAUUCCAGGUGUAGCGGUGGAAUGCGUAGAUAUCUGGGAGAACGCCAAAGGCGAAGGCAGCUUGCUGGGUCGAUACUGACGCUGAGGCACGAAAGCUAGGGGAGCGAACAGGAUUAGAUACCCUGGUAGUCCUAGCCGUAAACGAUGGACACUUGGUUUUGGGGGCCCUGAUGCCCUCGGGACUGGAGCUAAUGCAUUAAGUGUCCCGCCUGGGGAGUAUGGUCGCAAGGCUAAAACUCAAAGGAAUUGACGG